GCCUAAACCACAAGCCCUCAACCCAGGUUUUAGCGACGCAGAGAAGAUUAGCAUGGCCCCUGCGCAAGGAGGACACGCACAAAUCGAGAAGUGUACCGGUUGAAA
rnacentral:snRNA from 1 species